GCCGGUGACCUCUGCUGCGCGCUUCGGCUGAGAAGGGAUUCUCCAGGGACUUCGGCCAAGAGCAUCCCCCUGCCCUCGGACCGCAGAGCUGCUCGGGAGCGGCUGCUGAGUCUGUGCUUGACGGAAAGCAGUAGCGGACUUGUCCUGACUAACGGUGGUUCAUGCAGGUGUGAGAGUAAUUUUACUGAGGUUUUUCUGUCUGAGUAGCUGGCAGACAGCUCCUGAGGCCUGAAAUGUAAUGCUGGUGAUGUGUAGAAAAGAACUUUUUUAAGAUUAAGAAAAA